GAGGUCGGUUCCGACGUGAGGACACAUCCCUUGAACUAAAUUCCAAGCUACUACAGUUCUGCUUCUAAGACAACCCCCACCCCCCACCCCUCCCUCAAAUUCCUCGGGGACUUCUUGUCAAAUGAGUCAGUUUAAGAGCAGACUGCCUUGACAGUGAAUUACUCAGAAACUUUUAUAAAUGUAGGAAGCAGGGUUUUUUUUUGGGGGGGGUCCCUUCCUUUCUCCCCCCCUCCGCUCUCUCUGUGUGUUUGGCCUGGUGUGGUUGUUGCCUAGGAGUUUGGAGAGAGGACUUGGUAUCCCCUCCUCCACUCUUUUUUUGUUAUGCAAGGUGCGGGGACAAUGCGCGGGGGGGGCACCAGGAGAGAUUAACUUAUAAGAUUCCCCCCCUCUCUCUUUCUUUCUCUCUCUUUCUUCCCCUCCCCACAUUCUUGUUCUCUGAGAAUGGGAGGGCUAGACAAGACUUUCACAAAGCCGUCCUGAAUGGCCCCAGCCGGCCACAAAUACAUAGUUAGCCAUUUCAUUAAGUCUGAUAAUGAAGAGAACUCUUUCCCCCAUUUGUACGACAACAUUAGAAGUGGGGGUGGGGGCCGAAGGAGGGAGUUAAGAGGCAGGGCUUCAAAGAAGUCCUGGGAGAAACCCAAAUAAAAGUACCCCCCCUUUCGUCCUUCGCCCCGUUCCCGAGCCCUCCACGCUUCCCGUGAGCCUUACAGGUGUCGUUUGAGUCGAAAGGAAGGAAGGAAGGAAGGAAGGAAGGAAGGAAGGAAGGCUAAAUCCAUUUUUAUCCCCACCUAAAGUAAAUUCAGGAAGAUGAAUGGAAUUUGUUAGGCAGUGGUACCACACGUUCCAUUGAUUUGGAUGGGCCUACUCUGUUUAGGAGUAGUAACAUUGGACCUACCCCAUGACCUCCUCGCCAAACAAACAAAGGCGCAUGAUUCCUGGAGGUGAGUGAGAUGCGCUAGGGUUCCGCAAAUAGGGUUCCCCAAGGAAGGCAAACCCUCUCUCACUUCACGGACUUUUCCCUGGCAGAAACUGGUGUUUUGCUCAAAGAAAUACUACCGAAGGGAGAAAGGAAAGGAAAAAAAAAACCCAGGUGGAUUUUGAUCUCUCAAAGCGCAGGAAGAACAAGAAAGACCUCCAGGCGGAUCUCUGUGGCAGCGAGAAGCUCUUUGGACAAUAGAAAAACUGUCUUUGUUUCGGGGAGAGGUAGAAAGAAGCUCGCGUCUUAUCAGUGGAAUAAAAAAAAGACGGACAAUCCUGUUUCUUCCAGACACAAUGAUUUCCGCGCUAAUAUUCUGCACGUCCUUGCCAAUAUUUUCUACUGGGUAAAAUAUAUUCAGGAGAUUUAUUUGUAUAGAAAAGUGAGAUUUAAAAAAGGAUCCGUUCCUUUCUUCAUUGUCUGUAUCUGUACAAGAAAGGCAUGCAUGUGUGUGUAUAUACACGUGUAUAUACACACCCGCCUCUCACCUACCUUCUCUCUCCUAACUUCACAAUUUUACUUGCAAUAUGAAACAUUUCCUGUCCUUCUCUCCCUACACAUGCAUAUCGCAAGGUGGGGGGGGGGGAAGGCAUAACAGAAUAUCCUAUGUUUCGGGGACUGGGCGGGUAAUCGUUCCUUACCUGUAAAUAAGAACCUGGGUUAAUUUUGCCCCGCACUAUAGGCUGAGUUGUUGCUGUGUAUCUAUGGAUGAGAACGCGUGGGGUGCUCGUUCAACACCCCAAAAUACAGGCAGCGAAACCAAACAACAGAAACGGGCCCCGACCUCAGUCUUGUAAUCACUAGAGCAGAAGUUUUUAGCGGUGGGCGACAAAGAGGAAAAUGAACGGGUUUUCUUUUUCAAAAAAGUUCUCACUUCACUCUGUCCAAGAGGAAGCGGGUUUGAGUUGGCGUUGUCCUUUCAGUGUCGUUUCUAAAGAAGAAAGCGGAAUCCAAGCAGAGGCCUCGCGGAUGCUGAACGGUUUCCCCUUCUAAGACCGAAGGACCAUUCACACGCAGGCAUGGAUGCUGUAAUAGCAUCCUCUUUUCUGUCGGCCCCUUUUGAGCAGCAUCCUCUCCCUCACAAUCGUCUUCAAAUUACACACACACAUACAGUAGGUGUGCGUAUGGAUGCGCACCCCGGCUCUGCCCUGGGAGCCUUUCAAUCCGUUACACCGCCUUACUCACAUUUAUUCCUCAGUGUUUAACGAGUAAGCUCGGAUGAACUCAAAAUGCUUUUAUCGUUUAUACAAGUCACCCUCGCCGGCUUUGAUGGGACUUUUCUCAUGAGGAAGUGUGGAUGAUGGCGAGCGUCCUAACCACGAUUCAAAGGGGAAUUUCCUGUUUUGUUUCCCCCCGUCAUCUUUAAGGCCAUUUCUUACACACACACACCCUCGUCGGAAGUGGGGAGCUCUCACUUUCCCCCUCUGCCUCCCCUCCGCCAUUUUCUCCCCCUCAAAGCCCUUCUCCAUCGAGAUGGGGGUGCGAGUUUAGUUUGAACAGAGUCUCCUUUUGCGACAGCGACUUCCGCAUCGCCGGAUAUAUAGUAUGUAGGCACACACCAGACGUGAUAAUGCGAAGAAUCAAUACACUCGCAC
ensembl:lncRNA